UACUUUUCCGGGAAAAUGACGGUAGGCAGGUGUCAUUAAUCGGCGAGAGAACGCGGAAGACGCGUACAAUCGUCUUAUCGCGCCACGUAUCGAACGUAGAGGAAAUAAAUGACAAAGGGGCCGGUGUUUGCUGACUUUUGUUCUUCCCUUGUGGAUCUUCGAUACGGUCGACCUUCUUUCGGAAGUUUUAGUGAUUUUCUCAACUUUCUCAGCUACCAAUAUUUUUAUGUCACGCAAUAUUAGAUCGACGGAAUUAAGGAUCGAAUUUUUUUUUUUUUUUCUAAUUGCUUGCAAUGGUUAAACGCGCAGUAAGAAUACUUGUAUGCGAGUAUCAGUGUGUGGGAGCAUGUGUGCGCGCGGCGUCUCAAAAACAGAUGGAUGUAAACUGUUCAGUCGUUAGAAGCAUCUGGAAGAGAAGGUUAAAAGUCGGGUAUAGAAGACAGUGCUGAGACGCGUGCAGAUAUGUAUCGAUAAAUAUAAUAGAGAUCGUCCAUUAACUAAAUGUAUAACUAUUUAAACAUUGAUUAAAAGUGUAAAUUUUGUGUUCCCAUAACAUUAUUUCGGCUUCAAAGAUCCAAAAUUCUCAACAUUAUUUACUUCGCGUGAACACAACUAAGAAGCAUCCUUUUUAUUCUUUGUACAUAUAAAAUUUCCAUAAAUACAUAAACAUCCGCUGGCGAGUUAUAAUCUUAGGAACUGAAAGGACGAGGUGCGUGGAGAAUUUAUUCUUAUGGCCAUAAAAUCCAACGAGAACGGGACGAUAUCAAGCGAAAAUAGACACGGAAGUUCCUCUUUGAGAUUUCAUCCCCCUUUCCAAGAAGUGGCUACGAUGAAAAAAUAUGGGGAAGCGGAUGGCCAGGAACGAUACUAUUGAAACCGAAUAGGGAGGGCGGAAUCAAAGGAUGUAAGUGUUCUGGGGUGGCAGAGUAUAUUCUGGUUGCUGUUGCGUCCAAUAAAUAUCCAAAAUGGUGUCACGAAUUGCUCUUUAAUCUCAGAUAUAAAUUACAACGAUCUGCAACUUUUUGCGCGCAAUUGAAUUAUUAAUAUUGAUAGUAAAAUUCAACAAGCCACAACCUACCAGGUAUCAGCGUCGAGUAAUUCUCUUGCGUAACACCAACGAAUUUGCUUCGUUAUAAUGCGGUCAUAUUGCAUAUUGCACACGCUGUAUCAUAUUGCAUGGAAAUCAUUGGAAACACGUUUCCCUAAGGUAGCUAUUUAUUCUCCACCAAUUCUUAGAUUUUCUCGUUUUCCACUUGCAACAGGGAUCUCUUUUUCUGUUCGAAGAAAAUCAUUCAAACGGAGGAGCACUACUAAUUUAUAGAUUAAUAUAAAACUUUUGUUACGUAAAUCCAAUUUUGCAGAAACAUUUACCUUCGUUAGAAGCAAUAAAGAUAGAUUGCGCCCUCGCACUGUACGUUUCUAUCGAAUUUCGUAAUUACAACGGGCUAAAAUAUUAACGGAUAAAACAGAAAGAGAGAAAUGAAAGAAGAUGCAAAGGAAGCGAAGUUAUCGAUAAGCAACUCAAUCGUCUCUUUAUUCACCGUGACGAGGGCAGGCACAGGAGCAACAACGCGUGAACGGUCAUAUCGGUCGUAUCGGAGUGUCAGGGUGCGCGCGUGCCUCGCCGGGUAGGCGUACGCUCGUAAAUCCUCCCUUCGACGAGGGGUAGAAAGAUCCGGGCAAGGUUGCUUUCUCGCGCGGGUCGUGACCUUGCCACGUGGAGGCUCGUGCACGAGCCACGGUGGGAGGCCUCGAAGGACGAGGGAACGUUCACCCGGAAGAACGUCACAGGCCUAAUAAAGGGGAGCGUCGAUCUCUCCGACGCCCUUCGAUCAUGACCGACAAUCCAUCCACGGGCUCGCGAAUGUAAAGAAAAAAAAGAAAGAAAGAAAAGAGAGAGAAGGAGAGCUGAGAGCAAUGGUAAAUCCUGGAUAAUCUCGUCGAAACUGUACGUCGCCGAAAAAAAGCAGUUGUGGUGCGCAGGUAAGUAAGCUGUUAAGAGGAAGCACGGUAAGGAAACGUAACAAACAGAAUGGUCCGAGAGUCAAGAGUUUGUAAAUUUGAUUUCGCUGAUUGAAAUUGUAUUGCCCGAAGGGAGUGGAGAUUUUCCUUCGCACGUUUCUAAUUACAGGUUUUACGAUCCUUUAACUAUUGCUAAGCUGUGAACGAUGUUUACGGGAAAUUAAAAUGUACAAGACCGAUCCGCCUAACACGCGAAGUAUGUGAAACGUUGAAAGUUUUAUAAGCUUCGUUUCGUCGGAAAUUGCUCGCUGUUUCUGUUUUCCUCGUACCAAAUGAGACUGCAAAUUUUCCUAAACCCAUAUCUCAUACGUUGUAUCCUGAUCAUCAUACAUCGGAAAUAAAUUUUGAAAUAUAUAGUUUUGGGCGGGGGAAAGAUAUUUAUCCCAUAAAGCGCGUAAGUAUAGUCCGUCAAUUAUUCACAUAAAAUGGUCGCUUGACUACUCACAUAAGAAAAACGAGAUUCGUUGCUCCAUAAAACGAAAUAAUUUCAUCGGGCCAUGUCGAUUCGAUGCUUGAAAUUUUCACUUGCCACAUUUAUUUUUGCGAAUAAGAUUAUUUUCAAAGUUUUGUGAAAUGGAGCUAGUAAUUAUUAUGGCAGUUAAGAAGACCACUGUGUGUGCUGCAUUUGUGCGCCGCAAAUUUCUUAUAAUAAGAUUAGGAUGUUCAUUAAAAUAUAACGUCGAAGGAUAAUGAACAGUAUGAUCACGUACGAUUGACGAUGUUGCUAUAUUAAAAAAACGUAUUCACUUUAACGUAUGUUGUGCAAGGACUUCUUUUAAGGGAAAAUUACAAGGAAAAUCAAUGUGACGCUUCGAUAACGUUCCUCCACGGACGAAUUCCCUGAUUCCUGUUGGUCGAGUCGUAUUAAAUCAACAACCAAGAAAAUCGUUUCCAGUCGAGAAAAAGGAUCGUUCGAGCGCUAGAGGUAAUGAAAACUUCGAAUAAAUUACGUUCAUAAAUUUCAGAUUUUUGUUGCAGGGUAGUUCAUAUGAAAACAUUUCAAAAUUAUGAAAUUUGUUUUACAAACGGCAUAACGGCAUGAUUUAUCUCAAUAAAUCCUAUUAAAUACCUAAUUGUAAUUUAAGCUAUCAAACUGCGACUGGUACACAAAAGCUCGACAAAGGUUCUAAAAACGUGCAACAACAGAAAUACGAUUUAAUAUAAAUUUCAGGCGAUAACGUUCCAAACUUUUACAAAUUUAUUUAAAAAAAUGACACGGUAGCAUAAUUUGUCUCGAUAAAUUCUAUUGACUGUUUGUGAGUUAAAAUAUUAAACUAUCGUACGGCUUUACGCAGGGACUCGAACAAGUAUCACGAACGUACGACGAUAGAAAGGUAAUUUAAUAUAAAUUUUUAUAUAAAAUCCCUGGCUUCGAGCUCGUAAACCGUACUACGCCUAUUUGCUUUCACAAAUAGUAUCAAUGCCGCGUAUAAUCUCGAUUUUCUAUCAGCCUUCGCGUACUAUUGCACACACGAGUUGGGUUCGUGAAUGACGAUAAGAAAUUCUCUUUUGAUCCAAUUUACCCAGCUAAACGUUGCACCGAUAUAUUACUGUUAUUUCGGUAUAGCACUAUUAAAUCCCUUCUCAGUGACUUUCUUUACAGCUAUUUAAGUUGCGGUAAUUAUCCUCCUUAACUUUCGUAAGUCGUACACUUAGCACUCGUUUCGUUAUGACUUGUCACGAUUCGAACAGUUACACCGUUGAAUGUACACUGAACUGUGUACACACGUAUUAUUACACUGUACUAUGUUUGACUGUGACUAAAAGUAGGUUUACUUCGAAAGAAGAUUAAGUGUUAUACAUACAGCAUUCCUUAUUUCUAAACUGUGAACGUAUGUGGCAAUUUAUAUUUUAGUGGAUAUAAAUAAAAAAAAAAAAAA